rnacentral:rRNA from 1 species
UUAAAUUGAAGAGUUUGAUCAUGGCUCAGAUUGAACGCUGGCGGCAGGCCUAACACAUGCAAGUCGAACGGUAACAGGAAGCAGCUUGCUGCUUUGCUGACGAGUGGCGGACGGGUGAGUAAUGUCUGGGAAACUGCCUGAUGGAGGGGGAUAACUACUGGAAACGGUGGCUAAUACCGCAUAACGUCGCAAGACCAAAGAGGGGGACCUUCGGGCCUCUUGCCAUCAGAUGUGCCCAGAUGGGAUUAGCUUGUUGGUGAGGUAACGGCUCACCAAGGCGACGAUCCCUAGCUGGUCUGAGAGGAUGACCAGCCACACUGGAACUGAGACACGGUCCAGACUCCUACGGGAGGCAGCAGUGGGGAAUAUUGCACAAUGGGCGCAAGCCUGAUGCAGCCAUGCCGCGUGUAUGAAGAAGGCCUUCGGGUUGUAAAGUACUUUCAGCGGGGAGGAAGGUGUUGUGGUUAAUAACCGCAGCAAUUGACGUUACCCGCAGAAGAAGCACCGGCUAACUCCGUGCCAGCAGCCGCGGUAAUACGGAGGGUGCAAGCGUUAAUCGGAAUUACUGGGCGUAAAGCGCACGCAGGCGGUCUGUCAAGUUGGAUGUGAAAUCCCCGGGCUCAACCUGGGAACUGCAUUCGAAACUGGCAGGCUUGAGUCUUGUAGAGGGGGGUAGAAUUCCAGGUGUAGCGGUGAAAUGCGUAGAGAUCUGGAGGAAUACCGGUGGCGAAGGCGGCCCCCUGGACAAAGACUGACGCUCAGGUGCGAAAGCGUGGGGAGCAAACAGGAUUAGAUACCCUGGUAGUCCACGCCGUAAACGAUGUCUACUUGGAGGUUGUGCCCUUGAGGCGUGGCUUCCGGAGCUAACGCGUUAAGUAGACCGCCUGGGGAGUACGGCCGCAAGGUUAAAACUCAAAUGAAUUGACGGGGGCCCGCACAAGCGGUGGAGCAUGUGGUUUAAUUCGAUGCAACGCGAAGAACCUUACCUGGUCUUGACAUCCACAGAAGAAUCCAGAGAUGGAUUUGUGCCUUCGGGAACUGUGAGACAGGUGCUGCAUGGCUGUCGUCAGCUCGUGUUGUGAAAUGUUGGGUUAAGUCCCGCAACGAGCGCAACCCUUAUCCUUUGUUGCCAGCGAUUAGGUCGGGAACUCAAAGGAGACUGCCAGUGAUAAACUGGAGGAAGGUGGGGAUGACGUCAAGUCAUCAUGGCCCUUACGACCAGGGCUACACACGUGCUACAAUGGCGCAUACAAAGAGAAGCGACCUCGCGAGAGCAAGCGGACCUCAUAAAGUGCGUCGUAGUCCGGAUUGGAGUCUGCAACUCGACUCCAUGAAGUCGGAAUCGCUAGUAAUCGUGGAUCAGAAUGCCACGGUGAAUACGUUCCCGGGCCUUGUACACACCGCCCGUCACACCAUGGGAGUGGGUUGCAAAAGAAGUAGGUAGCUUAACCUUCGGGAGGGCGCUUACCACUUUGUGAUUCAUGACUGGGGUGAAGUCGUAACAAGGUAACCGUAGGGGAACCUGCGGUUGGAUCACCUCCUUACCUUAAAGAAGC